rnacentral:rRNA from 1 species
UACGAAGGGGGCUAGCGUUGCUCGGAAUUACUGGGCGUAAAGGGCGCGUAGGCGCGACUGUUAGUCAGGCGUGAAAGUCCUGGGCUCAACCUGGGACUGCGCUUGAUACGGCAGAGCUAGAGGAUGGAAAGAGGCUCGCGGAAUCCCAGUGUAGAGGUGAAAUUCGUAGAUAUUGGGAAGAACACCGGUGGCGAGGCGGCGAGCUGGUCCAUUACUGACGCUGAGGCGCGACAGCGUGGGGAGCAAACAGGAUUAGAAAACCCGGGGUAGCCA